rnacentral:sRNA from 1 species
AUUAAUUUAAAAUGAAUAAAUCUUCCCGUGUCAUCAAGAAAGGGAUGGCUUAUAUCUCCAUCUAUCGUCUGAUUUUAGU